GGGUAUCCCUGCCUGAUCCGAGGUCAACCUUGCGAGUAGGUCUUCCGGCAGACGGGGCCCCGACUUUUGAAGCGAAAGAUUCUGCUACGCUUAAAGCCGGUGCCACGCCGCCGAGCGUUUCGAGACGCGUCCCCAAAGGGGACGUCGCCCAACACCAAGCCAGGCUUGAGUGGUGAAAUGACGCUCGAACAGGCAUGCCCCUCGGGAUACCAAGGGGCGCAAUGUGCGUUCAAAGAUUCGAUGAUUCACUGAAUUCUGCAAUUCACACUACUUAUCGCAUUUCGCUGCGUUCUUCAUCGAUGCCAGCCUAUCGAGA
rnacentral:misc_RNA from 1 species